rnacentral:rRNA from 1 species
UUGAACGCUGGCGGCAUGCUUUACAUAUGCAAGUCGAGCGGCAGCGCGGGGGCAACCCUGGCGGCGAGCGGCGAACGGGUGAGUAACAUAUCGGAACGUACCCAGACGUGGGGGAUAACACAUCGAAAGAUUUGCUAAUACCGCAUACGACCUGAGGGUGAAAGGGGGGGAUCGCAAGACCUCUCGCGUUUGGAGCGGCCGAUAUCGGAUUAGCUAGUUGGUGAGGUAAAGGCUCACCAAGGCGACGAUCCGUAGCGGGGCUGAGAGGACGACCAGCCACACUGGAACUGAGACACGGUCCAGACUCCUACGGGAGGCAGCAGUGGGGAAUUUUGGAGAAUGGGGGCAAGCCUGAUCCAGCCAUGCCGCGUGAGUGAAGAAGGCCUUCGGGUUGUAAAGCUCUUUCGGCAGGAACGAAACGGUGAGUACUAAUACUAGUCAUGAAUGACGGUACCUGAAGAAGAAGCACCGGCUAACUACGU